rnacentral:rRNA from 1 species
UACGUAGGUGACCAGCGUUGUCCGGAUUUACUGGGCGUAAAGCGUGCGCAGGCGGCGCGUUAAGACAGGUGUGAAAGCCCCGAGCUUAACUUGGGAAUUGCGCUUGUGACUGGCGUGCUGGAGUGUGGCAGAGGGAGGUGGAAUUCCACGUGUAGCAGUGAAAUGCGUAGAGAUGUGGAGGAACACCGAUGGCGAAGGCAGCCUCCUGGGCCAGCACUGACGCUCAUGCACGAAAGCGUGGGGAGCAAACAGG